rnacentral:lncRNA from 1 species
UGAAGCUAUUGAGCACUAGUGCUUCUGAGGCCCUGAAGUAUGGAACGUAUUCAUUCCUUAAUUUAGAUUUGCCCCAGGAGACAGCUAUAUAAACUGUAUUUUUAUUUCUUGAGACAUGAUCUCAAGAAGCCUAGCCUGACUAUGCAGCCUAAGAUAACCUUGAAUUCUCUCUCUCCUUUAAAAAAAAAUGUAUGUAAGUGUUUUGGUGGCCUGUAGGCAUAUACACAUGUGUACUUGGUGUCCUUGGAGGUCAGAAGACAGCAAUCGGAUUCCCUAGAACUGGAGUUAGAGUGUUUGUGAACCACCUUGUGGGUGCUAUAAGUCAAACCCAGGUCCUCUACAAGGGCAAAGGAGUUCAAACCCAGAUGACCACGUGGUGGAAGAAAAGAACCAACUCUAGAAAGUUGCCUUCUGACUGCCACAUGCAUGUACACGAUCACACAUAAAUAAAUGAAUUUCAAAACCUAAGCCAAGAAGAGGGCAGAGACACAAAACAAAAUAUCAGUUAGUGAAUGAGUAAAUUUGAUCAGAUAGUAAAUCCCACCUCUCCCUGAAAAGAUACUUCUGGAUGGAGCUGGAGCCAUGCUUCAGCAGUUAAGAGCACUGGCUGCUCUAGUAAAAGCCCCAGGUUCCAUUCCCAGCACCCAGCUUAACAACCAUUUAUAAAUCCAAUUCCAGGGGAGCCCACACCAUCUUCUGUCUCCUGUAACAGGCAUACAUGUCUACAAACAUCCGAGUAGGCAGAAACACCAAUAUACAUAAAAUAACUUUUAAAAAAGCUACUGCCGGGUGGCUUAGCAUCCCCAAAGCUCUGGAUCUGAUUCCCCACAACACAGAGGAGACACCCUGCCACCUAGCUGGGACAUGGUCAUGAUAAAGUCUACCAGACAUCAGUCUAACCCCUCUAAUGUCCUCACUUGUCCCAACCACCACCUCUCUCCCUCUCAAAGUCAGACAUAUCAUGUCCUGAUAUGUUUCUCUGUUAAAGGAGGUGUGGCCUUGUUAAAGUGGGUGUAUCACUGUGGGUGUGGGCUUUAAGACCUUGUCCUAGCUGCCUGGAAACAAGUAUUCUCCUAGCUGUCUUUGGAACAAGAUGUAGAAUUCUUAGCUCCUCCUGCACUGUGCCUGCCUGGAUGCUGCCAUGUUCCCGAGUUGAUGAUAGUGGACUAAACCUCUGAACUUGUAAGCCAGCCCCAAUUAAAUGUAGUUCUUUAUAAGAGUUGCUUUGGUCAUGGUGUCUGUUCACAGCAGGAAACCCUAACUAAGACAUCUGCCAAUCAGCCUGAGUCUACAGAAGCGGCAAGAAGCCACUGGAAUCUGACGUCACGAGAAGUUCCUUGAUGGUGAAAUUCAAAUACAAAGACCUAUGUCCAAGACUGGUGAGGUGGCCCAGGAGGGUCAACUGUCUUGCUACCAAGCUCAACAACCUUCUUCUGACUCCCUAACCUGAGUUUAACCCCUGAGACCCACAUGAUGGAUAAAGAGAACUUGCUCCUGCAAGUUGUCCCCUGACCUCCAGGAACAUGGCAUGCCUGAACACACAAAUGCAUGCACACAUACACAUACACACACGCAAAAAUAAAUGUUUUGGGGUUGUUUUGUUUUGAGACAAGGUUUCUGUGUAGCCCUGGCUGUCCUGGAAUUGGCUCUGUAGACCAGGCUAACCUUAAAUUCAGAGAUCCACCUGCCUCUGCCCCUCAAGUGCUAAGAUCAAAGGCGUGCGUCACCACCGGUGACUGGUGGGGGUGGGGAGUUGUUUGUUUUAAGACAGGAUCUCACUAUGCAGCACUGACUGGCCUGGAACUCAGAGAGUAUGCCUUUCUACUUGCUUCUCCCUCCCUAAAGUGAUUGGAUUAAAGGCAUGCACCACCAAGCUGUGUUUCUCCUUUUAAUUCGGUAUGUGUUGCUGUGUGCACAGAGCCUGUGGCAAUUGUAGUGGGCAUGGAAUUCCCUUCCCUGGAUUGGAGUUGCAGAUGAUUGUCAGCCACCCAGUAUGGGUGCUGGGAGCUGAGCUUGGAUCUUCUGCAGCAACGGGAAACACUCCCAAACACUGAGCCAUCUCUCCAUCCCCAUAACUACUUUAACAAAUGAUUUUAAAUUACAUUUAUGGGGAAGGGGGAGUGAAUGCCGUGACACUUGUGUGGAAGUCAGAAGACAACUUGGGAGUCAGUUCUCGCCUUCUACCAUGUAGGUUCUGGGAAUCAUACGCAAGCCAUCAAGCACAGCAGCAACCCUUACCCACUAAGCCGUCUCUCUGGCUCUAGAAUAACUACUUCUAAUAGUGGCUAUAUGGUUCAGCUUGACCUCACUGUAGCCAUCUUGAUAACCACCACAACCACUGCAAAGCAAACCAUGUUUUUUCCUGGAAACCACAGACAUGUCCCUAGAGUAACAUGUAGGGUUUCAGAACUGUUUCAAUGUCAGGGAUGCACCUGCCUGCCCCUUUCCUAUUAGCUGAAGAUCACAAACACAUUCUAAGUUAGAUGAGAUCACAGUGCCCCCUAGCCUUUCAUUCUUAUACAGGUUUUAGCACUUGUUCUGCCUGCCGCCUAGGAUCACACUUCUAUCAGCACACCCCCUCAAUAAAUUCAGAUCAUGAACCCUUGAAUCUUAUCUUCCUCUUUUCUGCAGUCAUUCUGCAUCAUAGCCCUUGCACCUGGCUCUCACACACUGGAACCUGACUGUCAUUACGCUGUCUUAGAAAUCUAGUGUGUAUUUUCACACUUGUGAUGUCUCACUUCGUUCUAACAUUGUGUCAUGUGCCCCAACUCCAAGUCAGUCGCAUCUGUGUUGGACAGACAAAUACAGAGAUGACAGACAAACAGGUAACUACAAUGCAAAAUGUUGAAUCACAUCACUAGGGAGGUAGAAGUGGGUGAACUCCGAGUUCCAAGCCAGCCUGGUCUACACAGUGAAUUCCUGACCAUCCAGGACUACAUCGGGAGAUAUCCUCUAAGUGGGCCUGGGAGAUGGCUCAACAGGAAACAGUGCUUACCAUCAAACCUGAAGACCUGAGUUUGAGCCCUGGGACCAACACGGUGCAAGGAGAGAGCCGACUUCUGACCAUCACACACACACACCACCUUUGACACAAGUGCACUUACACAAAUGCACACAAAGCAACUGAAAAAAACCACUAUCAAAUGCUUACAGUAGACUUUAAUGUUUAAUGUGUAUGGAUGUUUUCCUCUCAUUUAUGCCUGUGUUCCACUUGCAUGUCUGGCGCUCAAAAAGCCUAGAACUCCUGGAACUGGAGUUAAAAGAUGGUUGUGAGCCACCAUGUGAGUGCUGGCAAUCAGAACCAGGUCCUCUGGAAAAGCAGCAGCCAAUGCUCUUAACUGCUAAGCCAUCCAGUGCCCAAGACAUUCGUUUUAUAUAAAAAUGUGUUCAGUUU